rnacentral:rRNA from 1 species
AUACGUAGGUGGCAAGCGUUGUCCGGAAUUAUUGGGCGUAAAGCGCGCGCAGGUGGUUCCUUAAGUCUGAUGUGAAAGCCCCCGGCUCAACCGGGGAGGGUCAUUGGAAACUGGGGAACUUGAGUGCAGAAGAGGAUAGUGGAAUUCCAAGUGUAGCGGUGAAAUGCGUAGAGAUUUGGAGGAACACCAGUGGCGAAGGCGAAUGUCUGGUCUGUAACUGACACUGAGGCGCGAAAGCGUGGGGAGCAAACAGGAUUAGAUACCCUGGUAGUCCACGCCGUAAACGAUGAGUGCUAAGUGUUGGGGGGUUUCCGCCCCUCAGUGCUGCAGCUAACGCAUUAAGCACUCCGCCUGGGGAGUACGGUCGCAAGACUGAAACUCAAAUGAAUUGACGGGG